GACCUUCUUCAGGUGAAUGUCUAUGUGCUGGGAAAAACUUUCCUUCUGUUGGCCAGAGAACUCUGCAUAAAUGCUCCAGCUAUAGCUUAGGCAACACAAGAAAAGCCUGAAUUUCUGCAUGGGGCAACUUCCU